CCUACGGGCGGCAGCAGUGAGGAAUAUUGGUCAAUGGGCGCGAGCCUGAUCCAGCCAAGUAGCGUGAAGGAUGACUGCCCUACGGGUUGUAAACUUCUUUUAUAAAGGAAUAAAGUGAGGCACGUGUGCCUUUUUGUAUGUACUUUAUGAAUAAGGAUCGGCUAACUCCGUGCCAGCAGCCGCGAUAAUACGGAGGAUCCGAGCGUUAUCCGGAUUUAUUGGGUUUAAAGGGAGCGUAGAUGGGUUGUUAAGUCAGUUGUGAAAGUUUGCGGCUCAACCGUAAAAUUGCAAUUGAUACUGGCAGUCUUGAGUACAGUUGAGGUAGGCGGAAUUCGUGGUGUAGCGGUGAAAUGCUUAGAUAUCACGAAGAACUCCGAUUGCGAAGGCAGCUUACUAAACUGCCACUGACAUUGAUGCUCGAAAGUGUGGGUAUCAAACAGGAUUAGAUACCCUAGUAGUC
rnacentral:rRNA from 1 species